rnacentral:misc_RNA from 1 species
CAAUUCAUUGACAUCAAGAAUCCAACAUGAAUUACAAUGCUAAGAUAUAGCUUUUAUAAUUCUUGAACUAACUAACUAUAAACGUGUAUAGUUCUAACUCUCUCUUUAUUCCCGCGCCUAUUAUAACAAACUCCAACAAAAGUGGUCUUCUCGCCAAAUAACAGUAUCGUAUCAAUACCUUCCUCUCCAAAAAUUCCUAGUCCUCAAGGAACUCUAAAGAAUGUAGAUAUGGCUUGUUGGCGUAUUUCCAUACUUGACUUCUUCGUUGAUAGGAAACAUAUUUUCUUCCUCUGUGUUUGCCCUAUUUCGUACUUCGUUCUCCUUGAGAUUCCAAUACCUUCUUUUACAUUUUAUCUCUUCAAAAAGUUUCACAUUUCUGGUUAACAAAAGCUCUUGAUAUUGUU